ACUCAGAGACUGAAAAGAGAGAGAGGAUGUGGCGUGAAGCUGAAGCCUGCACCCAGGGCCUGGCACCUACUGGGUUGGGCUUGGCGCUGCGUGCUUGCAUUUCCGCGGAUAGACCGAGAUGGCAUCUGGGCUGUGACACUGGCUGCCCAGCUUUUCUUUUCUUUUUUUCCAACAGCAUCUGGAAGAGGCUCUGGGAGGGUCCAAACAACAAACCACGCGGCGUUCUCUGGUGGCUGUGCUGGGACGAGUGGGCGGAAACAGCCGCAGGACCUGAAGGAAGUCACGCCCAUGGGCCAGACCUAACGUUCUUUAAUGCUGACUCUCAAUUUUUAAAUAGAGCUUCCCUUCCUUAACCAACUGCAAAUCAGAAAAUUGUUGAAUCCCCUACCCCGUGACCUGUAAGCCCCUGCUUCAAGAUAUCCUGUGUGUUAAGGUCAAACCAAUAUGUAGCCUCCAUGUAUUGACUUAUGACUUUGUGUGUAACCUCUGCCUGCCUGCCUUUAGAAACCCUUGCUUGCAAGCCACUGGGAAGGUCAGGUGAGCUGCCUGAUUCUCCUUGCUGGGUGCCCUGAAAAUAAACACCCUCCUUUCUCUCACUACAAAA